ACAAGCUGGUGAGCCGUCGCUGUCCCGUUCGGCAUGGGGCAGAGGAACUUCCCGACUCCCGCCCGGCGUUUGUCAGCUGGGAAGGUUGCCUCACGAAACAGUAAGUGAGGGCAGCGGUGGAGCAAUCUGCCGUUGACUACAACCGCAACAGAGAGCAGUCCCGCCGGCGGCCGCAUCGUUGGUGCGGUGCGGGUAAGGGGUGAAACGGUGGGGUAAGAGCCCACCAGCAGUCACAGCAAUGUGGCUGGCUAGGCGAGCGUGCAACCGGGAGCAAGGUGAGUGGGCCUGGCUCUGAAUUCUAGCCAGGGUUGGGUCUCACCGCAGCGACAACGGCAAGGUGGGGUAACACCCCACAAGUCAGGCGUCGCCAUCAGGCAGGUAUGCUGAAUCCUGUCUGGUGAGACAGAUGACGGCACAGCCUUUAGGCUGGACAGAAUCGGGGGUACAGCCAGCGUCGUCCU
rnacentral:RNase_P_RNA from 1 species